GAUGAACGCUGGCGGUAUGCUUAACACAUGCAAGUCGAACGGAAUCUUUCGAGAUUUAGUGGCGGACGGGUGAGUAACACGUGAGAACCUACCUUCAGAACGGGGAUAACAGUUGGAAACGACUGCUAAUACCCGAUGUGCCGAAAGGUGAAAGAUUUAUCGUCUGAAGAAGGGCUCGCGGCUGAUUAGCUAGUUGGUAAGGUAAAGGCUUACCAAGGCGACGAUCAGUAACUGGUCUGAGAGGAUGAGCAGUCACACUGGAACUGAGAAACGGUCCAGACUCCUACGGGAGGCAGCAGUGGGGAAUUUUCCGCAAUGGGCGAAAGCCUGACGGAGCAAUACCGCGUGAGGGAGGAAGGUUCUUGRRCUGUAAACCUCUUU
rnacentral:rRNA from 1 species